AGUGAACGCUGGCGGUAGGCCUAACACAUGCAAGUCGAACGGCAGCACAGUAAGAGCUUGCUCUUACGGGUGGCGAGUGGCGGACGGGUGAGGAAUACAUCGGAAUCUACUUUUUCGUGGGGGAUAACGUAGGGAAACUUACGCUAAUACCGCAUACGACCUACGGGUGAAAGCAGGGGAUCUUCGGACCUUGCGCGAUUGAAUGAGCCGAUGUCGGAUUAGCUAGUUGGCGGGGUAAAGGCCCACCAAGGCGACGAUCCGUAGCUGGUCUGAGAGGAUGUUCAGCCACACUGGAACUGAGACACGGUCCAGACUCCUACGGGAGGCAGCGGUGGGGACUAUUGGACACUGGGCGCAAGCCUGCUCCAGCCAUACCGCGUGGGUGAAGCAGGCCUUCGGGUUGUAAAGCCCUUUUGUUGGGAAAGAAAAGCAGCAGGUUAAUACCCCGCUGUUCUGACGGUACCCAAAGAAUAAGCACCGGCUAACUUCGUG
rnacentral:rRNA from 1 species